UACGUAGGGGGCCAGCGUUGUCCGGAAUCACUGGGCGUAAAGGGCGCGUAGGCGGCGCGGUAAGCGUGCGGUGAAAGCCCGGGGCUCAACCCCGGGUCGGCCGUGCGGACUGCCGGGCUGGAGCACUGUAGAGGCAGGUGGAAUUCCGGGUGUAGCGGUGGAAUGCGUAGAGAUCCGGAAGAACACCGGUGGCGAAGGCGGCCUGCUGGGCAGUAGCUGACGCUGAAGCGCGACAGCGUGGGGAGCAAACAGG
rnacentral:rRNA from 1 species